rnacentral:misc_RNA from 1 species
AAAAAAAAGUUGGGUUAGGGGGAUUAGUAAGCUUCUAACAAACAAUAAUUAGGUCUACCAACAUGUGAGACUCACAUUGUUGUUAAGAGUUCAACUUCAUCACGCUAUGCUGGGCGUAUGCCAUAAUUUUACAAAAAUAAUUUGUGAUAAAUAUUAAUCGUCUCCUUGUAUCAAGCCCAUAUCCUGAGUCCUCAUCAUUAGAUCGACGGAGGGCUCUAAGUAGUUGGCACAGAGAGAGAUCUGAAGCUAAUUUCAACCAUUGCAUUGGGCCACUCGAGUCCCUAAUUUCUUUUCUAACCAAACCUCUAUAAUUGCCCAAAAAG